rnacentral:rRNA from 1 species
AGAGUUUGAUUCUGGCUCAGAACGAACGCUGGCAGCGUGGAUUAGGCAUGCAAGUCGAACGAGAUUCGGGGUUGACGCAAGGAUAUCCCGAUGAAAGUGGCGAAAGGGUGAGGAACGCGUGGGCAAUCUACCCUUGAGUUGGGGAUAACUCUUCGAAAGGAGAGCUGAUACCGAAUACGAUGGUGACGCCGAGGCGUCAUUGAUCAAAGACGGGGAACCGCAAGGUCCUGUCGCUUAAGGAGGAGCCUGCGUCCUAUCAGCUCGUUGGUGGGGUAACGGCUCACCAAGGCUUACGGGUAGCUGGUCUGAGAGGAUGGUCAGCCACACUGGGACUGAGACACUGCCCAGACUCCUACGGGAGGCUGCAGUCGAGGAUCUUCUGCAAUGGGCGAAAGCCUGACAGAGCGACGCUGCGUGGAGGAUGAAGGCCUUCGGGUUGUAAACUCCUGUCAUUCGGGAACAAUGGCACGAGGGUCAAUACCCCUUGUGCGUGAUGGUACCGGAAGAGGAAGCCACGGCUAACUCUGUGCCAGCAGCCGCGGUAAUACAGAGGUGGCGAGCGUUGUUCGGAUUUACUGGGCGUAAAGGGUGCGUAGGCGGUCUCGUAUGUCGGUUGUGAAAUCCCACGGCUUAACCGUGGAAUGGCGGCCGAAACCACGAGGCUAGAGUGCAGGAGGGGAGAGCGGAAUUCUUGGUGUGGCGGUGAAAUGCGUUGAUAUCAAGAGGAACACCGGUGGCGAAGGCGGCUCUCUGGAAUGCAACUGACGCUGAGGCACGAAAGCUGGGGGAGCAAACAGGAUUAGAUACCCUGGUAGUCCCAGCCCUAAACGGUGUGCACUUGGUGUGGGGGGAAUUGACCCCCUCCGUGCCGGAGCCAACGCGUUAAGUGCACCGCCUGGGGAGUACGGCCGCAAGGCUAAAACUCAAAGAAAUUGACGGGGGCCCGCACAAGCGGAGGAGCAUGUGGCUUAAUUCGAUGCAACGCGAAGAACCUUACCAGGGCCUGACAUGCAGCUGCACGCCCCGUGAAAGCGGGGAAGCCUUCGAGGGUGCUGCACAGGUGCUGCAUGGCUGUCGUCAGUUCGUGCCGUGAGGUGUUGGGUUAAGUCCCGCAACGAACGCAACCCCUGUGCUCAGUUGCUACCGCAGGUGAUGAGCUUGCGAGCACUCUGAGCAGACUGCCCGUGCAAGCGGGAGGAAGGUGGGGAUGACGUCAAGUCAGUAUGGCCCUUACGCUCUGGGCUGCACACGUGCUACAAUGAUCGGUACAGAGGGAUGCAAGACCGCAAGGUGGAGCCAAUCCUCAAAACCGACCUCAGUUCGGAUUGUAGUCUGCAACUCGACUACAUGAAGCCGGAUUCGCUAGUAAUGGCGCAUCAGCUACGGCGCCGUGAAUACGUUCCCGGGCCUUGUACACACCGCCCGUCACAUCAUGAAAGCCGUCUGCACCCGAAGUCGCCGUACCAACCCGCAAGGGGGGGAGGUGCCUAAGGUGUGGGUGGUGAUUGGGAUGAAGUCGGAACAAGGUA